ensembl:lncRNA
GCCUGGCUGCACCUCUCUUAGAGCUCAUUUAAGGGCUGACUGCCACUGUGGAAGAUUCUUUUACUGGUGAUCUUUUCUUGGUGAAGUGUUUCCUUAUGAGCUGAGAAUCUUCUGAUAUGGGCACACCUUCUGCAGGGGCUGCAUUGAGCUUUGGGCUGUUGACAGGGUCAGCUGUCCAUUGUGCAGCCAGCGCAUCAGCAUGCUUGUGAGCCUUAUGUGGCACUCCCCAGGUCAUGUCUUAACUCACCAGUCCUGGGGAAGGAUCCAGCAGGCUACAGAGUGACAGGAAAGAAGAUCCCCAACCAAGUCCCAGAGUGUCUUGUGCCAACACAAACAGCGCAGUCCCUCCAGGCCCCCCCUGCCAGCUUGUCUGUAGCCUCUGCUGGGAGUGGGAGCACAACGGACGCAGGCAGUUGGAACUGCUGUGGGAUACCAAGGACACUGGAUGGCUGACAUGAGUCCAAGAAGAGCAGUGGAGCUCCAGAGACCACAUGCAUUGCCAUGCUGGACUCCACUUCAGAGUAGGUGGCUCAACCUGCUGAGAGAAGGCUGAGGCACUCUGCAGCUCUUCUGCGCCAGGUGUCACUAGUCAUCGUUAUUCCUUGGACUGCAUCAGGAGAUGUGCUGCCAGCAGCUCAAGGUCAUCACUCUAUUCCCCUCUGCUCAGCCCUGGUGAGACCCAGUGUCCAGAGCUCCGAAGUACAACAGAGACCUGGACACGCUGGAAGGAGCCCAGUGAAUAGCAGCCAAGCUGAUGGGAAGGGAGUACUGGAGCAUCUCUGCAAUGAGAAGAGAGCUGGGACUGCUCCUCCCACUGAAAAGAAGGCACAAGGGGAUCUUGUCAAUGCCAAUAGAUUAUUGAAAAUCCUGAAAUUGGUGGUAGAUUUCCUUCUGUUCCUUCUGAGAGAUGAAAGACAAACUUAACCUGGGAUCCCACUGUAUGGCUUCUGAUGCAUCAGCCGCUCCUCCUAGUUUGGGAUUCUCAGUGGCCUUGUGAGGAUAAACGCUGAUGCGUCAUCCUGAUCAUUUGUGAGGCUCUUAAGCAGGACUGGACCC